rnacentral:rRNA from 1 species
CAUGCCGCGUGUGUGAAGAAGGCUUUCGGGUUGUAAAGCACUUUCAGAAGGGAAGAAAAGCCCGGGACUAAUACUCCCGUGUCUUGACGGUACCUUCAGAAGAAGCACCGGCUAACUCCGUGCCAGCACCGGCGGUGACUGAGCGGGCUGGCAAGGCGCAUA